AUCAUUCAACUCUCGAGUUUCUUGGCUGAUAACAGACCCUGUGAAUGUUAUCGUGUUGGUUGGUUCUCCUCGGUGAUCGGGCGAAAUGACGGUAGCGGCAGGGAUCGGGUACGCGCUACUAGCGUUAGGCCCGUCUCUCUCCCUCUUCGUCUCUGUAAUUUCCAAAAAGCCGUUCUUAAUCCUCACUGUUCUCUCCAGUACGUUGCUGUGGCUUAUAAGUUUGAUUGUGCUGUCUGGAGUAUGGAGGGGUUUCCUUCCUCUAAAAAGGACGACAUGGUGGCCUUUUGGAAUACUUAUAUUGACGUCUGUUGCUUUCCAAGAAGGGCUUCGUGUUUUAUUCUGGAAAGUCUACAAGAGGCUGGAAGAUAUUUUAGACGCUUUUGCUGACAGAGUAUCAAAACCACAUCUUUCACUGACUGAUAAAAUGCAAAUUGCUCUGGCCGGUGGUUUGGGUCAUGGUGUGGCACAUGCUGUGUUCUUCUGCCUCAGCCUAUUGACUCCUGCAUUUGGUCCAGCUACAUUUUUUUCUGACAGAUGCUCACAGAUACCAUUUUUCCUUCUUUCUGCAAUUAUUGCUCUUGCAUUUGUCACAAUUCACACUUUCUCAAUGGUCAUUGCAUUUAAUGGAUACGCAGAGGGGAAUAAACUGGACCAAUAUACUGUUCCCAUUGUCCACCUUGUUGCAGGGAUGGUGACUCUCGUAAACUUGGCGCCUGGUGGCUGCAUUGUUGGAAUUCCUCUCCUAUAUUUCAUUGCAAUGCUGAACUUAUUCAACUGUGGAAGAAUAGUAUGGAGAAGGCUGACUGAAAACCAGAGCAGAUAGGCCUCCCUUGACGUCAGGUUCAAGCUUGUUAAAGCCAUGGCAAAGAGUUUGAUCGCAAUUGCUUUCAGACUCUGGCAAUGACAGCAGCCCUUUCUGUGAGAUGGUGAAAGUCUUUAGAAGGCACGUGACUUUAUCUUAUCAUUAUCCUUGAGUAUUAUACCUUUGAAUCCUUAUGCUUGUAUACCAUGUACAAACAGGUGCUAAUGUAAAUGUUGGUGCUAGUAGAGCAACUAAUUGACGCAUUUGCUAUUUUAUUGCUUCUUUUUUAAGGCACACCUGAUGAACCAAGUGAUUGUCAUUUGACUUUUUGAAAGACCCGGUGGGAUGUAUAAACUCAUCUCAUUAUGUACUGCAUUAUAUGGUGUGGUUUUUAUUGUUCUCGAUAUUGUGAAUUUCAAAUCUGGAGUACUGCACACAAUUACAUUAUGUUUCCUAAGAAUACUGUAGUGUUCAGUCAUUUACAUUCUAGGGUAUUGAUCCUGUGUUUGUUAUUGUUUCUCA